CUGCAAUGAUGAACUUAUUAAAAUCUACUGAAUCUAUCAAAUGUUGAUUCAAACCGAGCUUUUUAAAACUGAGCAGC